rnacentral:piRNA from 1 species
UUCCAGGUCAGCGACUCUCUUCAGCAGAA